CCCUUGUGAGUGUGUUAUGGUUAAAAUGUUAACAUCAGCUCAUAUACCCAACCUACUGAUGCCAGACCCAUCUGCCUUUGGUUAAGGGAGGAAGGAAAAGCAAUAGAAUGACAUGAAGUGCCUGUAAUCCUCUGGGAAAAAAAGCACCCAGAAAAACUCAGCUCAAGCUGAGGAAAUCAAAACUUAGAUUGCGUGAUGUUGCACUAAGGGUAAGCUCAAUUCAUCGUCAACUUGGCAGAAACCAAUAAAGAGUG
rnacentral:lncRNA from 1 species